UGGGGAAUAUUGGACAAUGGGCGCAAGCCUGAUCCAGCCAUACCGCGUGGGUGAAGAAGGCCUUCGGGUUGUAAAGCCCUUUUGUUGGGAAAGAAAUCCUAUCGGUUAAUAACCGGUGGGGAUGACGGUACCCAAAGAAUAAGCACCGGCUAACUUCGUGCCAGCAGCCGCGGUAAUACGAAGGGUGCAAGCGUUACUCGGAAUUACUGGGCGUAAAGCGUGCGUAGGUGGUGGUUUAAGUCUGCUGUGAAAGCCCUGGGCUCAACCUGGGAAUUGCAGUGGAUACUGGAUCACUAGAGUGUGGUAGAGGGAUGCGGAAUUUCUGGUGUAGCAGUGAAAUGCGUAGAGAUCAGAAGGAACAUCCGUGGCGAAGGCGGCAUCCUGGGCCAACACUGACACUGAGGCACGAAAGCGUGGGGAGCAAACA
rnacentral:rRNA from 2 species